AUUGAACGCUGGCGGCAUGCUUUACACAUGCAAGUCGAACGGUAACAGGCCGCAAGGUGCUGACGAGUGGCGCACGGGUGAGUAAUGCAUCGGAACGUGCCCAGUCGUGGGGGAUAACUACUCGAAAGAGUAGCUAAUACCGCAUACGAUCUAUGGAUGAAAGCGGGGGACCGUAAGGCCUCGCGCGAUUGGAGCGGCCGAUGUCAGAUUAGGUAGUUGGUGGGGUAAAGGCUCACCAAGCCAACGAUCUGUAGCUGGUCUGAGAGGACGACCAGCCACACUGGGACUGAGACACGGCCCAGACUCCCACGGGAGGCAGCAGUGGGGAAUUUUGGACAAUGGGCGCAAGCCUGAUCCAGCAAUGCCGCGUGCAGGAAGAAGGCCUUCGGGUUGUAAACUGCUUUUGUACGGAACGAAACGGCUCUGGUUAAUACCCGGGGCUAAUGACGGUACCGUAAGAAUAAGCACCGGCUAACUACGUG
rnacentral:rRNA from 1 species